AGUGAACGCUGGCGGUAGGCCUAACACAUGCAAGUCGAACGGCAGCACAGGAGAGCUUGCUCUCUGGGUGGCGAGUGGCGGACAGGUGAGGAAUACAUCGGAAUCUACUUUUUCGUGGGGGAUAACGUAGGGAAACUUACGCUAAUACCGCAUACGACCUACGGGUGAAAGCAGGGGACCUUCGGGCCUUGCGCGAUUGAAUGAGCCGAUGUCGGAUUAGCUAGUUGGCGGGGUAAAGGCCCACCAAGGCGACGAUCCGUAGCUGGUCUGAGAGGAUGGUCAGCCACACUGGAACUAGGACACGGUCCAGACUCCUAAGGGAGGCAGCAGUGGGGAAUAUUGGACAAUGGGCGCAAGCCUGAUCCAGCCAUACCGCGUGGGUGAAGAAGGCCUUCGGGUUGUAAAGCCCUUUUGUUGGGAAAGAAAUCCAGCUGGCUAAUACCCGGUUGGGAUGACGGUACCCAAAGAAUAAGCACCGGCUAACUUCGUGCCAGCCGCCGCGGUAA
rnacentral:rRNA from 1 species